GUCAACUUGAAGCAGUUUCGGCUGUGGAUGGUGGCGGACGGGUGAGUAACGCGUAAAUAACUUGCCCUUUAGACUGGGACAACUGUUGGAAACGACAGCUAAUACCGGAUAUUAUGAAACCUUGGCAUCAAGGGAUUAUGAAAGCUAUAUGCGCUAGAGGAGAGAUUUGCGUCCUAUUAGCUAGUUGGUGAGGUAAUGGCUCACCAAGGCGACGAUAGGUAGCCGGCCUGAGAGGGUGAACGGCCACAAGGGGACUGAGACACGGCCCUUACUCCUACGGGAGGCAGCAGUGGGGAAUAUUGGACAAUGGACCAAGAGUCUGAUCCAGCAAUUCUGUGUGUUUGAUGAAGGCCUUCGGGUCGUAAAGAACUUUAAGUAGGGAAGAAGAAAGUGACGGUACCUACAGAAUAAGCGACGGCUAAAUACGUGCCAGCAGCCGCGGUAAUACGUAUGUCGCAAGCGUUAUCCGGAAUUAUUGGGCAUAAAGCGCGUCUAGGCGGUUUAUUAAGUCUGAUGUGAAAAUGCGGGGCUCAACUCCGUAUUGCGUUGGAAACUGGUAGACUAGAGUAUUGGAGAGGUAGGCGGAACUACAAGUGUAGAGGUGAAAUUCGUAGAUAUUUGUAGGAAUGCCAAUUGGGAAGCCAGCUUACUGGACAAUACUGACGCUGAAGCGCGAAAGCUAGGGGAG
rnacentral:rRNA from 1 species